rnacentral:lncRNA from 1 species
CUAUGAGCUGAAUAAAGAGCAUGAAAUCCACUCUCGACUCCAAGUAUAUUUCAAAUCUGAAUGCUGCAAACCUGGAAGUAGGUGUUCCGGUUUGUGGACUUUGCCUCAGAAGCCAAACAUGCUCCGUUUUGAGUCCCGAGCUUCCGAUUUUACUGUUGCGCUGCUCAUUUGUGUGUCCCCCUGUGACAUUACCAUAUAUGAGAGAGUGCUGGAGGGGAAAUAGUUAAAUAGGUUGCACAGACAGGACCCGGGGGGUGGAGUCAGUGGGUCUAUAAAACUGGUUCUGGGAGGAGUUCUGCUAGUUAGUUCGUUGGGAGUUGUGGGUGGGUAGUUGGUUGGUUUGAGUGGGUUGGCUGGUUGGGAAAGGCAGUUGGUUAUAGAGAGACAGUUAGGGCAGUUGGUCCUUGAGUGUGGGGAGGUAGCAGAGAUAGAGAGAGGAACAUAAGACUAAGAAAGUAAAGAGGAACACCGUUUGGAAUGCUGUACAAGUUUUGUUUUAUGUCUGAAAUAAAAGACACUCUUCUUUAUGAAAUGAAAAGCUGACUGAGACUGAAGUGAGUUUACCAGGGAGGACCUGGUUGGUGGCAGCGGAUUAGUGGUGUACGGGUCAAUAGUCCGUGAGACGACCGGGGGCUCCGUAUGAACGCCACAAAAUUGGCGGCAGCGGCGGGAUUUGAUAAGUCUAAGAGCCUGUGAGGGGAAGCAAUACACCUGGAGAGGGGCAGGGUAAAUCGGUGAAGAGAUUACCUGGCCCGAGGGUGUGAUGAAGGAUAAACCCCAGAUUGUCGUGUGGCCGAGAUAACAAUAAGAGCAAGAGAUCUCAAAAGACUGUUCUGGCAGAGGCUUAGGCUCAGGGUCAGAGGAAGUAAGCUUGAAAGGUUAGAGGGGGAAAAAACCUAAAGCUAUACUUUGAGGACCAGGGUCUUGGAAAGCCAAGCCGGGAGGAACAGUGCUGAGAGUGAAAGUCCCUUAUUUAAUUUGUGCAAAAUACGGACUCAGCCAUAAUGCCACCCAAAAAGAUCAAGCACCCAGUGAGAGAAAACACAUAUGAAAGUUCUGGAGAAGAGAAUGGGAAUCCCCAGGGGGAAGAAACCAGAAUAGAAGAGAUGACCAAAACCCCGCCUGAAGUAGAAGUUCCACAGUUUUCAGAGGAUUUUGAAAAGUGGAAAUUAAUUCAAGAAUAUAACUUGAAAUUAGAGCUUGAUAAAAAUAGAACUGAGCAAGAAAAAUUUAGGCUGGAGCAGGAAUUAGAAAAAGAAAAAUUGAGGGCUGAAAAUUGAGAGCUGAGCAAGAAAUUGAACAAUUUAGGCUUGAGCAAGAAUGGGAAAAAGAAAAAUUGAGGACUGAGCAGGAAAGGGAACAGCAGCGGUUUCAGUUAGAGAUGAGACGGUUGGAAUUAACGGUUUUAGAAAAUAGUAAUAAUAGUAAUAACACCGAUGGACAGAAUCAAAUGAAGAUAGAUUUAAAACGCUUUCCUGAGUUUAGAGAUAAGGAUAGCCCAGAAGCCUUUCUAGUAUCCUUCGAGAGGGCCUGUCACGAUUUUCAAGUAAGAGAGGAAGAUAAAAUGAUGAUGUUGAGAGCUAGGAUAAGCGGUCCUCUAGCCAAAUUAUACGCUCAGAUGACUGAGGAACAAUCCCGAAAUUUUGAGGUGUACAAGCAGUUAGUAUAUACACGCUUUGAGAUUACCACAGAGCAGUUGAGGAAAAAAUUUAGAAGUGUGACAAAGGUGAGGGAGGAAACCUAUGCGCAGAUGGGGGCAAAGAUAAAAACUUACCUCACAAGAUGGUUAGAGCAAGAGAAUGCAGACACGGUACCUAAGAUUAGAGAAGUGAUGGCGUUGGAGCAAUUUUACGACACAAUAAAUGGCCAAUUGAAGUACCUGAUAAUAAUAAUAAUAAUAAUAAUAAUAAUAAUAAUGAUAAUUUUUAUUUAUAUCCCACCCUCCCCAGCCGAAGCCGGGCUCAGAGCAGCUAACAUCAAAUGUAUAAUACAUUAACAUAAAAUCAGACAAUCAAUUAAAAUACAUCCUCAAAUCAGAUCAGGAUCAGAAUAAAAUCCAAUCGGAUGGCAACCCGCAGAUUAGGGUUAUGGACCUUAAAUGCUCACCAGGCCCAACUGUUUGUGCUGAACUUAUAUGGGCCUGUGAGAAAAAAUUGGGAAGCCAUUUUCAUGCAAGUUCUUAUGAAAGGGGGAGGGAGUCAGACUGAACAGCUCCAUCUUGCAGGCCCUGCGGAAAGCUGUCAAGUCCCGCAGGGCCCUGGUCUCUUGUGACAGAGUGUUCCACCAGAUAGGAGCCACAGCCAAAAAAGCCCUGGCUCUGGUUGAGGCCAGCCUAACUUCUCUGUGGCCUGGGACCUUCAAGAUGUUUUUAUUUGAAGACCGUAAGUUUCUCUGUGGGACAUACCAGGAGAGGCGGUCCUGUAGGUACGAGGGUCCUAGGCCAUAUAGGGCUUUAAAGGUUAAAACCAGCACCUUAAACCUGAUCCUGUACUCCACCGGGAGCCAGUGCGGUUGGUCUAUGUCAGGGAACUGCCAUCGGAAGGAAGGGAGGUGAAAGGACUCAGACAGGUUGGAAGAGAUUCAGCAGCUGAAGAGGGAACCAGCAAGGGGAGAGAAGCUGAACUGAGGGAAAGGGAGCUGGGGGGAUGGCUCAGAGAUACUUCCAGCGAAAACAGUGGUGAGGUUUCCGGACCUCCUGUAGCGACACCCACUCCUCGCCGGAAACUGUCACGCAGAGAGUCCAGAAGACGUGUUUCCGUUAAGGAGCUUUUAUGUUGGAAGCGAUUACGAAAGCAACCACUGUCGGAAUCUUCUAGUGACUAGAGGAGCCAUGUCAGAGGGGCUCAGUCACAGACAGAGGUUUGUGGACUUGAACAAACUCUGAGGGAAUACGAUUUUACGCACAAGCAGCUCAUAAUCCCAUCACAGCAUUCCGACAGUCUUUGAACGCAGCUUGUGCAGGAGAAGGCAUAAUGAGCAACCCAGCAGGAACCGGAGAAGCAGGGGCUGGAGCGGGUCCAAGCCUGGAAGAAAGGUACCGGGUGUUGGAGGUCCAGCUGGCGCUGCAGACGGCGAGGCUGGAGGAGAGGAGGGCUCAAGAUGCAGACAAAGGGAGAAAGCCACCCAGCUCGCCAGAAAGGUACCAGGAUUGGUGCAGAAAUUUGGGGGGGAGCCCAAAGACUAUCAUAGCUUUCGGACAGAAAUGCAAUAUGCCCUCAAUCUGCAGUUUGAUGAUUUCCUGAUGAGGAAUCACGAGUGGCUUUUGUGAUUGGGCAUCUUGAAAAGGGGGCGAGAGACUGGGUGAGACCCCUGAUGGCAGCGCAUAGUGACGUCCUAAAGGACACGAUGAAGUUCUUUCGCGCCAUGGAUCUGAUGUUUUCCAGCGAUAUUGAAAAGGGAGUGGUGCGCAGACAGUUAAUGGCUUGCAAACAGGGGAGCCGAUCUGUACGUGAGUACUGGACUGAGUUCACCAUGCUGAUACACAGAUUGGGGUGGGACUUAUCGGCGGAACCCAUUCAAAUGCUCUUUGAAGAAGGGCUUUCUUCGGCUGUGAAAGAUGAACUUUCCCGGGCGCCCAGGGCGGAGUCUAUGGACCAGCUGACCAAAUCAGCGCUGGCCAUAGGAGCGCGCCAGGAGGCGAGAGCAUUGGAGAGGCGGGAAGGGAAAGGGGAACGUUGGAAGGAGUUCCGCAUUCCAGACAUUCCAGAGCCAACUGUCCCGCCGGCAGAGCCGAUGGAAAUCGGAACAGCGCGCGCGCGCUGUUUCAAAGCCCAGUGAGGUGGGAAAGAAGGAUGGAAAAGGCGCCCGGAAAUGCUAUCUCUGCCAACAGCCAGGGCACUUUGCCAGAGUCUGCCCCCAGAGGAAGGAAUGGCAAGGGAUGGUGGGAGCUGUGGAGGGAAGAGAGGAUAAAAUACCGGAGCAACUAAAAGCCAACGCCUGGCUGCCAUUGUCGGGGCACAGCAGCCAGGCCAAAGAGCAGUGAAAGUGCCCACUCCAGAACCUCCUAAACCCGCCCUAGUGAUAGAAGUGACACUAGAGCUGCCAAACGGACACCCUCUAAAGAUAAAGGCGCUGUUGGACUCAGGCAGCUCCUGCAAUUUCAUGAGCAAAGAGUUUGCAGCUGAACACCAGAUACAGACGCUCCUUUAAGCAACCCCUGCAGGUAACCACGAUCGAUGGCAGGGAGCUGUUGGGAGGAGAAGUCAGCUUGCAGACCGUCCCAAUGAUAAUGAAGGUGGCAAGGCACACCGAACUAAUAGCAUUUAAUGUGGCCACCUUGGGAGGAGCUCCCAUUAUAUUGGGGAUGAGCUGGCUAGCGUUACAUGAUCCGCUGGUGGGCUGGCAUCAAAGAGUGGUUUCUUUUGGGUCAGCACAUUGCUUAGAACAUUGCAAAGAGGGAAGGGUUUUGGCAGGGGCCCAAGCCACUCUAGCAGGGACUGAAGUGACGGAGAACGUGAAGGUACCACGACAAUACGCAGAUCUCCGCGACGUCUUCAGCGAAAGGGAAGCUGACCAACUACCACCGCAUAGAGCCUUUGACUGUCAAAUCAAUUUGCUCCCUGGGGCACAGCUCCCUGUGGGCAAGCUGUACGCCAUGUCAGACAGAGAGAUGCAGGAGCUAAGAGAGUUCAUUGACAAGAACCUGAAGAGAGGGUUCAUCAGAGAGUCCAGGGCGGUGGGGGCAGCCCAGUGUUUUUGUGGACAAAAACACGAACAAGCCGAGACUGGUGUGUGACUUCAGGGCCUUAAAUGCAGUGUCAGAACCAGUGGCCUUCCCGAUGCCCAGGAUUGACGACAUUUUGACAAGGGUGCGGAAGGGAAAGAUUUUUACCAAGCUGGAUCUAAGGGGGGCGUACAACCUGAUACGAAUAAGGAAGGGGAUGAAUGGAAAACCACCAUGUUCACCCCUUUAGGGGCAUUUGAAUACUUAGUUAUGCCCUUCGGUCUACAAGCAGGCUCCGCAACAUUUCAAUCGUUUAUGAACCACGUCCUGGGGCCGUUGCUUUACAAGAAUUGUGUGGCCUUCUUAGACGACGUGUUGGUGUAUUCUGAGAAUGAGGAGCAGCAUGUGAGAGACGUCAGAGAAGUGUUGAGCAGGCUGCAAGCCAACCAGCUGUGGGUGAAACUGGAGAAGUGUCAGUUUCAUACCAAGGAGGUGGAAUUCCUGGGGUAUCGCCUGUCUGACAAGGGGUUGGCCAUGGAUCCCGACAAGGUCCAGGCGGUACUGGAAUGGAAAACACCCAAAACAAGGAAGGAUGUGCAGAGGUUUUUAGGGUUUGGGAACUUCUAUCGUAAGUUCAUCCCAAACUUUGCCCACCUGACGGCGCCCAUUACGGACUGUCUCAGCAGUAAGAAGAAGUUCGUUUGGACGGAGGAGGCGGAGCAAGCAUUUGAGGAACUAAAAAGGGCCUUCGCCUCGGAACAACAGCUCCUGCAUGUGGAUUUACAAAAACCGAUGAGAGUGGAAACUGACGCAUCAGACAGAGCGGUUGGGGCGGUGCUUCUCCAGCCAGGGAAGGAGGAGUCAGAGUGGAGACCGUGUGCUUAUUUUUCGCGAAAGCUGAACAAAUCCGAGAGGAACUACACGGUGUAUGACCGAGAACUACUAGCCAUUCAUGAGGCGUUCCGGAGAUGGAGGCACCUGCUAAUUGGCGCACAACAUAAGGUGCAAGUGUGCACUGACCACAAGAACCUAGAGUAUUGGAGGACGGCACGAGUGCUCAACCAACGGCAAGUGAGAUGGGCCCAGGAAUUCUCCAAAUUUAACUUUGAGAUUUGUUACGUGCCAGGCCCAGAGAACAUUAGGGCGGACGCCUCUCACGCAAACCUGAAUAUUGGGAGGGGAGGGAGCACCCGAAGAGAGACAUGUCAUUCCAGAGGACCGCUGGGUGUGUGGGGCGGCAUUGGUGGGACAAAGAGAACUGGUAGAAGAAACAGAGAAUGAUGAAUACGCCCAGAAUAAGCUCAGAGGUCUUAGGGAUGAGGGAGAGGAAUCAAGGGGUUUCGAGGAAAGAAAUGGAGCUUUGUAUUACAAAGGGGCACUGUAUAUCCCUGAAGGAGACAGAUGCGGGAGGGUACUCAAGCAGUUGCAUGACAGCCCCACGGCGGGCAUUUUGGGCAACACAAAACCAUGUGGUUGGUCACCAGGGAAUUUUGGUGGCCUAAGGUGAGGGAGGAUGUACGUGAGUAUGUAAGAGGGUGCGAGCAGUGCCAGCGAGCCAAAGGGGAAAGGCGGGCGCCGGCGGGGCUAUUAGAACCCUUACCAACACCAGAACGACCUUGGGAGGCAGUGUCGAUAGAUUUUAUGACUGAUCUGCCGAAGUCCAAAGGGAAAACAGCCAUCAUGGUGGUGGUAGACCUACUAACAAAGAUGUGCCACUUUGUAGCUUGCUCGCAUGCAGUCACGGCGGAAGAGACAGCGAAGUUAUUUGUAGAACACAUUUUUAGGUUGCACGGGGUGCCAUUGAGGGUGGUCUCAGACCGAGGAAAACAAUUUACUUCCAGGUUCUGGAGGAAGCUCAUGAGCUUACUGCAGGUGGAGGUCAACUUUUCGACUGCCCGGCACCCUGAAACCAACGGGCAGGCGGAAAGAGCAAACGGUGUCCUCCAGCAAUACCUGAGGUGUUAUGUCAAUGACAGAGAGAAUGACUGGGUAGAAAAGUUGGCGCUGGCGGAAUUUGCCUACAACAAUGCCGAGAAUGUGUCCACAGGGAUGAGCCCUUCUUGGCUAAUUAUGGGUGUCAUCCCAGGGCUUUCCCAGGGGAGAAGGGGAGAGAUGGAGCGUACCGGCAGCCGAGCAUUUUGUAGAAGAAAUGGAAGCAAUCCACCGUCAGCUCCAACUCAACUUAGAAAGGGCGAAGGAAGAAUACAAGAGGCAGGCAGACAAGAACCGAAGGGAAGGUGAAACCAUAAGGGUUGGAGAUAGGGUGUGGCUGUCAACCCGAGGGUUGCCGUUCAAAGGAGGUUGUAAGAAAUUACGACCCAGGAGGUUGGGUCCCUUUGAGGUCAUUCAACAGGUCAACCCAGUGGCUUUCAGGCUCCGGUUACCCAACCACAUGAAACUGCACCCAGUAUUUCACAGGUCGUUACUGUCACCGUACGAGGGGGGACGAGAAGGGAUGGCCACUCGGGGACCGGUCAUAGAAGAAAGAGAAUGCAGCAGUCAUGUGGCAGAAAUCCUUGAUGCCAGGUGGAAGGGGAAUCAGGUGGAGUAUUUGGUAGCGUGGGUAAUGGCCAAAGAUAUCAAUGACGAGGUAUUGAUAGAAAUGUUCCAUCAAAGGUUCCCGCGGAAACCUCAGCCUGUGGAGAGGUUCCGGAGGGAAUACUUUGGGACCACUGAGGAGGAGGAGGAGUUGGAAGGAUUCCCAGAAUCGGAAGGGGAAGGGGAGAUGGACUCGGAGGAGGAGGAGUGCUUCGAGACCAGGAACCGCAACAGGUGGAGAGAAGUGUUCGAGACAUCGGAAGAUGAAGGAAGUUCAUUCCGGGUUUUGCCUCCUCACCGCCCGUAGAGGAGGGGGCGAGAGGGGGUGAAGGGGGCCCUGGAGGGGAGGUGGAUGUCAGGGAACUGCCAUCGGAAGGAAGGGAGGUGAAAGGACUCAGACAGGUUGGAAGAGAUUCAGCAGCUGAAGAGGGAACCAGCAAGGGGAGAGAAGCUGAACUGAGGGAGGUGAAAGGGCUCAGACAGGUUGGAAGAGACUCAGCAGCGGAAGAGGAAACCAGCAGGGGAGAGAAGCUGAACUGAGGGAAAGGGAGCUGGGGGAUGGCUCAGAGAUACUUCCAGCGAAAACAGUGGUGAGGUUUCCGGACCUCCUGUAGCGACACCCACUCCUCGCCGGAAACUGUCACGCAGAGAGUCCAGAAGACGUGUUUCCGUUAAGGAGCUUUUAUGUUGGAAGCGACUACGAAAGCAACCACUGUCGGAAUCUUCUAGUGACUAGAGGAGCCAUGUCAGAGGGGCUCAGUCACAGACAGAGGUUUGUGGACUUGAACAAACUCUGAGGGAAUACGAUUUUACGCACAAGCAGCUCAUAAUCCCAUCACAGUCUAGUACCGGAUGAAUGUGAUCACGCAGCGAAGACCCCAUAAGGAGUCUCGCCGCAGCAUUCUGCACCCGCUGGAGUUUCUGGGUCAGUCUCAAGGGCAGCCCCACGUAGAGCGAGUUACAAUAAUCCAGUCUGGAGGUGACCGUCGUGUGGAUCACAGUGGCUAGGUCAGGGCGAGAGAGGUAAAGAGCCAACUGCUUAGCUUGGCGGAGAUGGGAAAAUGCCGCCUUUGUUGUAGCUGCAAUCUGCGCCUCCAUGGAAAGGGAGGUGUCGAAGAUUACACCCAAACUCUUAACGGACGGUGCUGGCACUAAUUGCACCCCUGCAAGAGAUGGGAGUUGCCCCCCCCAAUCCCAUAUCGUCCCGUCCCAGCCACAGGACCUCUGUCUUCGAAGGAUUUAACUUCAACCGGCUCCCACGUAACCAUCCAGCCACAGCUUCCAAACAUCUGGUCAGUGUGUCUGGGGCCAAUAAAAGAAAGCAACCCCAAGACAAUAGAGGAAGCAGUGGGUUUAGCCGAUAAAAUAAAUGAAAUCAGAGACCAUGGAUUUGAUGGGCCAAAAUUUGGUGGAAGAUAUUGGGAAACAAACAAAAAUAAAUUUCAGCAAACCAAAGGAAGUUUACCUCAGAAACCGAUGAGAGAAGCAGCCCCUCAUCAGAAAGCCCACAUGAGAAGGCACACACCCAAACAGAGUUUUCUGAGGGAAAAGUCAAUAAAACAAGUUAUGCAGGACCUAAAAACAUUUCAUGUUGGAGAUGUGGAAAGUUAGGGCAUAAAAGUUUUGAUUGUAAGCCAGGAAAAGAAACAUCUAGUUAUAGCACCACACAGAAACAGACAUAUUAUAUGCAGCCUGUGGAGCAGGGCCCAACUAGUCAGGUUGUCAAGGAAACGGACAUGCCAACUAGGCCGGAGCCUGCUGAGGUAGUAGAGGCCGAAGUCGUGCACUGUUGUGCGAUUCAACAAGAUAAUCUCUUGUUAAAGAACGCUGGAGAGUAUAUCCGGAUAGACGGAAAAAGAUAUCUUGGGUUAAAGGACACGGGAUCGCAAGUCACCAUAGUCCACCCAGAAAUAAUCAGGGAUGAGGCCAUAAUUCCAGGAAAAGUAAUGAAAUUAAAAGGAAUUUUGAAACAGGCAGAGAUCCUAAAGGUGGUGGAAAUAGAUGUCAGGUUCAAAAACUGGGCAGGUAGCCCUUUCGGAAGAAAUUCCCGUCCCUGUGCUCAUUGGUUGGGGCAUUUUAGAACAUGUGCAGAGUUCUUUCAUAGUUACCAGAGCAAAAGGGAGCCCACAGUCACCUAAUCCUGAGGGGGUGGAUACAGUAGCAGAGGCAGACAGUGCUGAAGGACAGCAAGGGGAUGAUCAGGAAAGAAAAGACACCUUUUUAUUUCCUUUGACUAAAAGUCAAACCCCAAGUUUUGCCAAAAAGCAAAAAGAAGAUACUGAGAUACAAAAGUACUUUGAGGCAGCCGAGUCGGAGAGGCCGUUAACUCCUGAGUGCCCAGAACAGUUUUGUUUGAGCAAGGACCUUUUAUAUCGAGAAGUCCUUGACCCACCAUGCAGGGGGCGUGAAGAAGUGAGAAGAGAAUUAGUAAUCCAGCACGCUCACAACAGUGUAUUUGGAGCGCAUAUGGGUAUUACACGUACAAAACAGAGAGUGGCUCAAAAUUUUUAUUGGCCAGGAAUGGGGAAACAAAUAAAACAAUACUGUCAAGCCUGUGACAUAUGUCAGAGAAGAGGCACCGGGCAAGACAAAACAAAAGCCAAAAUGAAUGAAGUAAAUUAUGUGAUCCAGCAAGGAGAGGAAGGGCGAAAAGUGGUGCAUGUAAAUAUGAUCAAACUGUAUUUUAGAACAGAAAAAUGGACACUGUAUCCCUUAUGAGAGGAUUCAUGUGAACCAGACAUACCAUGCUGGGGGAACAAGAGAAGAGUCCCAGAGUAGAUUAACAGACAUAAAAUUGGCUCCGACUUUAACCCUUAAACAGCCAGAGGAAGCAAAACAGAUCUUGCUGGAAUAUGAAUCCUUGUUCAGUAAUAUUCCAGGAGUGGCCAAAGGUGUGGAACAUUGGAUCGACACAGGGGAAGCCAAACCCAUUGUUGUGAACCCCUACCGUGUAACAGGAGGACGCUUCAAACACUGGAAAUGGGGCCGUCUUAAGCCAGCCAGGACCAGAAGGAGACCUACAUCCAAUCACCUACAUCAGCAAGAAGUUACUGCCUAGAAAAAAGCACCUCUCGACGGUUGAGAAAGAAUCAUUGGACAUUGUGGCGGAUGCCUUAUCACGAAAACCAGAGAGUGAAGGAUGAACAAAGACAAUCAACCAUUUGCUUGUUUAUGUAUGUAUAGAUAGAUAGAUAGAUAGAUAGAUGAUAGAUAGAUAGAUAAAAAACAAAACCACAUACAAAACUGUUUGAUCAGGAGUGUAACUUUAAGAAGUUAACCCUCCUGAAUCGAAACUUCUUAAGGGGGGAGGUAUGUGACGUUACCAUAUAUGAGAGAGUGCUGGAGGGGAAAUAGUUAAAUGGGUUGCACAGACAGGACCCGGGGGGUGGAGUCAGUGGGUCUAUAAAGGAGUUCUGGGAGGAGUUGUGGGGGUUAGUUCGUUGGGAGUUGUGGGUGGGUAGUUGGUUGGUUUGAGUGGGUUGGCUGGUUGGGAAAGGCAGUUGGUUAUAGAGAGACAGGGCAGUUGGUCCUUGAGUGUGGGGAGGUAGCAGAGAUAGAGAGAGGAACAUAAGAAUAAGAAAGUAAAGAGGAACACUAUUUGGAAUGCUGUAAUAGUUUUGUUUUAAGUCUGAAAUAAAAGACACUCUUCUUUAUGAAUUGAAAAGCUGACUGAGACUGAAGUGAUUUUACCAGGGAGGACCUGGUUGGUGGCAGCGGAUUAGUGGUGUACGGGUCAAUAGUACGUGAGACGACCAGGGGCUCCGUACGAACGCCACAGUCACUCCUGGCGCCAUUCCUGGGGUCUGUGCAUCAGCGCAGUCAGAAUAGUUGCAACCUGGUUGGAUGCGCCAUCCCGUCUCUUACUCGGGACUGACAAGGCCAUCUUUUACUGAGAAGGGGAGAAGGCUUUGUUUAUUUCAGCUACUUUAUGUUAUACAGCAAAAGCUGAUUCAUAAUAAAGUUUAAGGUCUGGCAGGGCAAAUCCGCCUCUUUCUUUGGCAUCAGUUAGUAUCUUAAAUUUUAUUCGAGGCUUCUUGCCCUGCUGACAAAUCUGGAAAUAUCUUUCUGCCACCUCUUGAAACAGUCCAUCCCAUCCAAAAUUUGCAAUGUUCGAAACAAAAACAACAUCCUUGGAAGCACAUUCAUCUCUACCACAGCGAUUCGGCCUAACAAUGAUAACUUCAAAUUUGUCCACAUUUCUAAAUCCUCCUUCACCUCAAUCCAACAUCCCUCAUAAUUGUUCUUAAGUUCACAUCUUUAGCAGCCAUGCCAACCCCUAAAUACUUCACCCUCUUAACCAAUGUUAGUCCUGUCUCCUCCUGAAACCCCUCUCCCCCACUCACAGUUAAGUCCUUCUCCAAAACCCUAGUUCCCAUCCCGUUCAACCCAAAAAACUGGAAAAAGUUUAAAGACUAUUUACAGAAAUAUUGUAAAAUUAAUGAAUGUUAGAAAAAUGUUGGAAUGAAGUUAUAUGGC